UCCGGCCGAUCCCUGCAAACAAAUUUUUUUUGUAUUACUAAUUAUUACUUUCUUUAAUGUUUUUAGCUCAGUUUUCAACUGCGGUCGAAGCCAAUGGUGCCACACAAGCGUAUUUUUCAUUUGUGUUGUACAAAAUCAAUUCAUGUUCUAUUGAUUUGUUGGGAGUUUGCUGAUCUUACGUUUUCUAGCGAUGAGCGUUGAGCAUUAGUAUUGUGUAUUUUGUUCGUCUUCUGACUGUGGCUAAGUGGUCACUUAGAUUAAAUCUACCACUCAACACAGUCACUUAUCUGGAAAAUGUUUUCUCUGAAAAACCUGGCGUACUGUGAUGUUGAAGAAAAAAAACAUUUAUUUGGAAACAUUGACAAUCGAAAUUCAACCCUGUUGAAUUGAUAUACUCAACUACUUAAAAAUGAAACCCAAUAAAAUACCACGGAUUAGAAUAUUGUUAACUAUGACGAAUACUUGAUGAUGUAGCAUGCCGUUGCCAGUAGACAUAUGGAGUGUUUGGUGUUUGCUGAAAGUCGUGGAUACCCAUUAACAUGAAACAUAUGCGCGUAGGCGGCCGUCAAUGGACAGCUCUAGUGCCUCAAGUACGCGCGUGACCGGGGCAGUCCAUGGGACUUGUCGUUUAGUGAGUUCGCCGCGGCCAACGGCCACUUGAAUUGCCUACGGUACACACACAAAACGGGUGACCUAACCUGUGAGACAACGGGUGUCUACGGGAUGAAUCGACACGUGAGGCGGCUGCGGCUGGUGGGCACAUAAACGAACUUUGGUAUGCUCACAAACGCGGCUGUCCCUGGGAUUCAGCCUCGUGUUGCGAAGCCGCGGCCCACGGCCACCUAACGUAUUUGGAGUAUGCAUAUGAAAAUGGUUGCCUGUGGGACUGUACGACAUGUGAAAUGUGAAGAAGCCAAAUCCAGCGGCCAUCUCAGCUGUCUAGUAUACGCACACGACAACGACCGCCUUUGGGGCAAAAAGACACAGACAUUGUCUGGAAUACAUGCUAGCAUAUGGUUGCGAGUGGGAUAGAUGCAUUCCAUGGCAAUAGGCAGUAGUACCUCCUUAAUGAUAAUUAUUUUUUUUAUUAUUAAUUUUAAUUUUAAAUUUUUAUAU